rnacentral:rRNA from 1 species
GACGAACCGUGCGAACGUUGUUCGGAUUCACUGGGCUUAAAGGGCGCGUAGGCGGCUCGCCCAGUCGGGGGUGAAAUCUUUCAGCUUAACUGGAAAAUGGCCUCCGAUACUGGCAGGCUUGAAUUCGGGAGAGGGAUGCGGAAUUCCAGGUGUAGCGGUGAAAUGCGUAGAUAUCUGGAGGAACACCGGUGGCGAAGGCGGCAUCCUGGACCGAUAUUGACGCUGAGGCGCGAAAGCCAGGGGAGCAAACGGGAUUAGAAACC